rnacentral:lncRNA from 1 species
CCGGCCGCUUGCUGGCUUCCUGCAUUUCCCAAGGAAAGAAGGCUUUUUUUUCCCCUCAGUACUGUAAAAGGGCGGAAACAGACAGAGAUGAAAACUCACUAUGCUGCCCAGACUCGUCUCGAACUCCUGGGUGUCACGCGUGUCCGUAUAGAAGACCACCUAAACAGGCUUUGUGUUCACGUGUUGAAAUCCUAACUCCAAAUAUGAUGAUAGGAGGAGAUGGGGCCUUCGGGAGGUGAUGAGGUCAUGAGGGUGGAAUCCUCAUGAAUGGUCUCAACGCCCUUAGAAAAGAGACCCCAGAGACCUCGCUCCCGCUUUCUACUGUGGGAGAAUGCAGCAAGAAGUCAGCCGUCUAUGAACAAGGAAGCAGGUCCUCUCCAGGCACUGAAUGUACCAGUGCCUUGAUCUUGGACUUCCCAGCCUCCAGAACUAUGACAAUAAAUUCUGUUGUUUAAGCUACAUGGUCUAUGAUACUUUUGUUAAAGAAGCCCAAAGUGACUAAGACAGGCAUCAAACAAUAUAUUGUCCUUUGUGAUGGAUCCUUUCACUUUGCAUAAUGUUUUCAAGGUCUAUCCAUUUUAUACCACAUAACAGCACCUCCUUUGCUUUCAUGGCUGAAUAAUAUUCCACCGUAUGGAGACACCACGUAUUCUCUGUCCA